AGCGAACGCUGGCGGCAGGCUUAACACAUGCAAGUCGAGCGGGCAUCCUUGUGGUGUCAGCGGCAGACGGGUGGGUAACGCGUGGGAACGUGCCCUUCGGUUCGGAAUAACUCAGGGAAACUUGAGCUAAUACCGGAUACGUGCGAGAGCAGAAAGGUUUAUCUGCCGAAGGAUCGGCCCGCGUCUGAUUAGCUAGUUGGUGAGGUUACGGCUCACCAAGGCGACGAUCAGUAGCUGGUCUGAGAGGAUGAUCAGCCACACUGGGACUGAGACACGGCCCAGACUCCUACGGGAGGCAGCAGGGGGGAAUAUUGGACAAGGGGGGCAACCCUGAUCCAGCCAUGCCGCGUGAGUGAUGACGGCCUUAGGGUUGUAAAGCUCUUUUCUCCGGGACGAUAAUGACGGUACCGGAGGAAUAGGCCCCGGCUAACUUCGUG
rnacentral:rRNA from 1 species